rnacentral:rRNA from 1 species
ACCAGACUCCUACGGGAGGCAGCAGUGGGGGAUAUUGGACAAUGGGGGAAACCCUGAUCCAGCGACGCCGCGUGAGUGAAGAAGUAUUUCGGUAUGUAAAGCUCUGUCAGCAGGGAAGAAAGAAAUGACGGUACCUGACUAAGAAGCCCCGGCUAACUACGUGCCAGCAGCCGCGGUAAUACGUAGGGGGCAAGCGUUAUCCGGAUUUACUGGGUGUAAAGGGAGCGUAGACGGCUGUGCAAGCCAGAUGUGAAAGCCCGGGGCUCAACCCCGGGACUGCAUUUGGAACUGUGUGGCUGGAGUGUCGGAGAGGCAGGCGGAAUUCCUAGUGUAGCGGUGAAAUGCGUAGAUAUUAGGAGGAACACCAGUGGCGAAGGCGGCCUGCUGGACGAUGACUGACGUUGAGGCUCGAAAGCGUGGGGAGCAAACAGGAUUAGAUACCCUUGUA